AUUGAACGCUGGCGGCAUGCCUUACACAUGCAAGUCGAACGGUAACGGGCCUCCGGGUGCCGACGAGUGGGGAACGGGCGAGUAAUACACCGGAACGUGCCCGACCGUGGGGGAUAACGAGGCGAAAGCUUUGUUAAUACCGUACACGAUCUACGGACGAAAGGAGGGGACGGCAAGGCCUAGCGCCGACGGAGCGGCAGGGGGUAGAGGCGGUAGUUGGUGGGAUAAAAGCUUACCAGGCCGACGAUCUGUAGCUGGACUGAGAGGAUGAUCAGCCACACUGGGACUGAGACACGGCCCAGACUCCUACGGGAGGCAGCAGUGGGGAAUUUUGGACAAUGGGCGCAAGCCUGAUCCAGCCAUGCCGCGUGCAGGAUGAAGGCCUUCGGGUUGUAAACUGCUUUUGUACGGAACGAAAAGCCUUCUUUUGAUACGGAGGGGUCGUGACGGUACCGUAAGAAUAAGCACCGGCUAACUACGUG
rnacentral:rRNA from 1 species